UCAGCAUCUGCUGCACAAGACCCUGUGGUUCUGGAGAGGACCAUCCAACAGAUCCUCAGAUCCGAACUUCAGUCGGACACCAUCAGAGCUUCACUUGCAACUUCACUUAAGGGUGAGAGAGGAGUGCCUGGGUCUAAAGGUGACCAAGGACCCCCUGGAGUGAAAGGUAUUGUAUUCAUAAUAAU